CUGCCAUUCAAUUGCCUCCUCUUCAGCAGUCCCAGCGGGAGGGUAUAUGUGGAUAUAUUCAGUUCUAAGCAAUACCUCUGCUCCUAAGUCCCUGCAGCUUCUGCAACCAGGACAGGCCUGCACUGGGACAUGGAGGUGAAGAGAACCAAGUCACCUCCCCUAACAGCAAGCUGACCCUGCUUCAACUGGCUCAGAAACACAGAGGACCCUUCAGAGGAAGAACAUCCCAGGACAACACACCUGAAGUCACUGACAGACACAUGAAAUCGCAAUGUUUUGAGACUCAAAUUCCACUGAGAAAAGGGAAUAAGAAACCAUGGGUCCAGAAUGAAGACCAAUGAGCUUUUCAGGAGCUCAUUCAAGUUUCAAGAUGGGCCUUAAUGGGGCAGCUUUGAAUUUCCAUUUUAAUGCUCAGCCAUUCGCCACCACAGACAUUCCUGAGCCUGCAUGCUGGGCACGGUGUGGCUCC